AUGGGUGCUGCGGGGCCCUACAAGCUGGCUCCAUCCCCAAGGCGGGGAGUUUCAGGAAGCCGAGGUGCACCCGCAGCCCCUCUGCCCGCGAGCUCAGCACGCCGAGCUGGCCCCGACACCGACGGCAGGCAGAGAGGGACCCGGGCAGCAGCUGGGAAGCGCACGGAGGAAACCUCCGUUGUUGUCUCCCGGUGCUCCAGCUGGUGCUGUGCCAGCAGGAAUGGCUGCGUGGAGAAGUGCCAGCACUUUCUAGCACGGAAGGAUGAAGGUAUCCUGAAGCGGGAUCCUUGUCAGCAGAAGCUCGGGGACCAGCACCGCAAUCUCCGCCUGCCCCGUGACCGAAACACGGCUGCAGAACGGUACCUGAGGAGUGACGGGGCACAGAGACCACAGGACAGAUCCAGGGAGCUCCAGGACGGGAGGAGAAGGGCUGUUCCCGGGGCUGGCGCGGGUCGGGCAGAGGCACCAAGAGAUCUGCAGGAGCGGGCGGCGGCGGUCCUCGCAGCGGCCUCUUGCAGCCAGGCUCCCUCAAACAGCCGAUGUGCCAGGCAGCUUGUCGGGAGGUUUGAAGCCAGAUCCGAAGAACGGUGGAUAAACACGGAAAGCCAGCUUUGGUGCUCGUGCCCUUCUAAGAUCUGCAGCUGCAGAGCGCACCCGGGCUCCCCUUCCCCCGCCCUCCGCACGCUCACCGAGACGCUCCCAGGAACGCCGCGGAGCCCACAACGCGUGCGCUUCAUCCAGCCGAAAUGUCUGAGCUGUGCCAGCAGCGGGGAGAGGCGGCAGCCCUGGCUACGGCUGCUCCGUGCUCCUCCACAAAGCAAUCUGCUGCUUGGGCUCCUCUCCGCUUCCCUCUUACGCAACUGCACAAAACGGAGAGGGAAAAAAAAAAAAAAAAAAAAAAAUCCCCUAGAUGCUAAUUUAUCUGAGGAGCUCAAGCAGGUCUGCACAAGAAGGCAGUUUCAGCAGAAAGAAGGUAAAAAAAAAUAAAUAAAUAAAAGAGGACCAGCCAUGUCUGAAAUGCUGCUUCAGAAACCCAGUGGAUGCAGCAGCCCUCCCGGCACCAGCACCGCCACCUGCCCCGUCCCGGCACCCGCUGGGAGAAGCCCAGAGCAGCAGCGGGUGCGGCAGCACCAAGCAGCCCCCCACGAGCUCGCUGAGCCCCCCCUGCCCGCUCCCAGACACCUCGGGCAACCCGGGGCACCUCGCAGCCAGCCUGCCCCCCUUUCCUGGGGCCCAGCGGCAAUUACAGGUUUAGCGGUGCAAAGCAGAGUUUAAUAGCAGCCAAGGCUGGUGGGAUUGAUUUCUUGUUUUGUUUUAAGUGCAGCUAAUCUAAUAGUUAAUUUAUUUAAAUUGAUAGGGCAGAGAGAAAUUACAUUUCUAUUUUCUCU
rnacentral:lncRNA from 1 species